rnacentral:rRNA from 1 species
AUUGAACGCUGGCGGCAGGCCUAACACAUGCAAGUCGAACGGUAACAGGAAGCAGCUUGCUGCUUCGCUGACGAGUGGCGGACGGGUGAGUAAUGUCUGGGAAGCUGCCUGAUGGAGGGGGAUAACUACUGGAAACGGUAGCUAAUACCGCAUAAUGUCGCAAGACCAAAGAGGGGGACCUUCGGGCCUCUUGCCAUCGGAUGUGCCCAGAUGGGAUUAGCUUGUUGGUGGGGUAACGGCUCACCAAGGCGACGAUCCCUAGCUGGUCUGAGAGGAUGACCAGCCACACUGGAACUGAGACACGGUCCAGACUCCUACGGGAGGCAGCAGUGGGGAAUAUUGCACAAUGGGCGCAAGCCUGAUGCAGCCAUGCCGCGUGGAUGAAGAAGGCCUUCGGGUUGUAAAGUACUUUCAGCGGGGAGGAAGGGAGUAAAGUUAAUACCUUUGCUCAUUGACGCUACCCGCAGAAGAAGCACCGGCUAACUCCGUA